rnacentral:tRNA from 1 species
GGGUCGUUAGCUCAGUCGGUAGAGCAGUUGGCUUUUUAACCAAUUGGUCGUAGGUUCGAAUCCUACACGACCCACCA